rnacentral:rRNA from 1 species
UACGGAGGGUGCGAGCGUUGUCCGGAAUCACUGGGCGUAAAGGGCGCGUAGGCGGCCGUGUAAGUCACUUGUGAAAUCCCGGGGCUCAACUCCGGGGCUGCAGGUGAGACUGCGUGGCUAGAGCACGGUAGAGGCGAGUGGAAUUCCCGGUGUAGCGGUGGAAUGCGUAGAUAUCGGGAAGAACACCGGUGGCGAAGGCGGCUCGCUGGGCCGUUGCUGACGCUGAGGCGCGAAAGCGUGGGGGAGCAAACAGG